rnacentral:rRNA from 1 species
AUUGAACGCUGGCGGCAGGCUUAACACAUGCAAGUCGAGCAGGGAAGGUUGCUUCGGUAACUGACUUAGCGGCGGACGGGUGAGUAAUGCUUAGGAAUCUGCCUAUUAGUGGGGGACAACAUUCCGAAAGGAAUGCUAAUACCGCAUACGCCCUACGGGGGAACGCAGGGGAUCUUCGGACCUUGCGCUCAUAGAUGAGCCUAAGUCGGAUUAGCUAGUUGGUGGGGUAAAGGCCUACCAAGGCGACGAUCUGUAGCGGGUCUGAGAGGAUGAACCGCCACACUGGGACUGAGACACGGCCCAGACUCCUACGGGAGGCAGCAGUGGGGAAUAUUGGACAAUGGGCGGAAGCCUGAUCCAGCCAUGCCGCGUGUGUGAAGAAGGCCUUUUGGUUGUAAAGCACUUUAAGCGAGGAGGAGGCUACUUAGAUUAAUACUCUGGGAUAGUGGACGUUACUCGCAGAAUAAGCACCGGCUAACUCUGUGCCAGCCGCCGCCGUAAUAC